rnacentral:snRNA from 1 species
AAACAAAAAAAUUGGAAUGAUCCAGAGAAGAUUAGCAUGGCCCCUGCACAGGGAUGCAAACUCAUAAAGUGUUCCGUAUUUUU